AUUGAACGCUGGCGGCAUGCCUUACACAUGCAAGUCGAACGGCAGCAUGGAAGAGCUUGCUCUUCUGAUGGCGAGUGGCGAACGGGUGAGUAAAGCAUCGGAACGUACCGUGUAAUGGGGGAUAACGUAGCGAAAGUUACGCUAAUACCGCAUACGACCUGAGGGUGAAAGCAGGGGAUCGCAAGACCUUGCGUUAUACGAGCGGCCGAUGUCAGAUUAGCUAGUUGGUAGGGUAAAGGCUUACCAAGGCGAUGAUCAGUAGCUGGUUCGAGAGGAUGAUCAGCCACACUGGAACUGAGAUACGGUCCAGACUCCUACGGGAGGCAGCAGUAAGGAAUCUUCCGCAAUGGACGAAAGUCUGACGGAGCAACGCCGCGUGCAGGAUGAAGGCUUUCGGGUCGUAAACUGCUUUUGUAUGGGAAGAUUAUGACGGUACCAUACGAAUAAGGACCGGCUAACUACGUG
rnacentral:rRNA from 1 species